UACACAAGUGAUGACUAUGCUCUCAAUUCUCAUAGAAUUGUAUUGCUGCCUUCAGCAACUUAUUCACGCGCAAUAACAACAACAACAACAAUAAGCCCAGUAAAUUUCUACUACAGCCUUACCCAUACCUGAAAGGGUCUGUUUCCGAUAGACAAACAACUCAUUCACGCCCAUAUGCUUUAUUCCUUCAAAAAGCUUCAACUUCCAACAAUAGGCUCUGAAGCCCACGCUUUUGAUAUUGAGGGUAGAGUGCCUUACACUGGUCCCAGAUGGUAGAAUUGUUAAAUAACAAGGUCCAAACCUUGAUUUCCAAAAUUUGCCACCACCACACCAAACAGGUCAAAGGACUUAUGUAUUGGCAAAAAUGGAGAUGACCCAAAAGUAGGACCUAGACAUUGUUGAAGCAUUCAGGGGAAGUCAUGGCGGGAUUGCAACUCAACUGACUGGCAGCUUGAUGCAGUAGAUGUCGAUCCAAUUAUAGGAGAUAUUUUCUUUCCAACAUGUUUUGCAUCCUAAUCAAUCAACUGCGUCUCAAUUCCAAUUUAGUUGACAUGACAAUUUAGAACUA